GGAGGAUGCCUUGGAUUCCAGAGGCGAUGAAGGACGCGUUAGGCUGCGAUAAGCCGUGGUGAGGUGCCUAAAAACCUUUGAUCCGCGGAUUUCCGAAUAGGACAACCUAUUAGAGCCCCUUCGGGGGAGGCGAACGAGGGGAACUGAAACAUCUAAGUACCCUUAGGAGAAGAAAACAAAAGUGAUUUCCUGAGUAGCGGCGAGCGAAAUGGAACUAGCCCAAACCAUUUUGAUUUCGGUCAAAGUGGGGUUGUAGGACUUUCAACAUCUGUAAUUAUACUGAACUGGAACACGUUGGGAAGCGUGGCAAUAUACGGUGAUAGCCCAGUACAGGUAAAGUAUGUUAUGGUAGAAAGACUCCUGAGUAGGGCGGGGCACGUGAAACCCUGUCUGAACAUGGGGGGACCAUCCUCCAAGGCUAAAUACUCCUGACCGACCGAUAGUGAACCAGUACCGUGAGGGAAAGGCGAAAAGAACCCCUGUGAGGGGAGUGAAAUAGAACCUGAAACCGUAUACGUACAAGCAGUGGGAGCCCUUCGGGGUGACUGCGUACCUUUUGUAUAAUGGGUCAGCGACUUAUAUUCUGUAGCAAGGUUAACCGAAUAGGGGAGCCGUAGGGAAACCGAGUCUUAAUAGGGCGUCUAGUUGCAGGGUAUAGACCCGAAACCGAGUGAUCUAUCCAUGAGCAGGUUGAAAGUGACGUAACAGUUACCGGAGGACCGAACCCACUGUCGUUGAAAAGCCAGGGGAUGACUUGUGGAUAGGGGUGAAAGGCUAAUCAAACUCGGUGAUAGCUGGUUCUCCCCGAAAGCUAUUUAGGUAGCGCCUCGGACGAACACCAUUGGGGGUAGAGCACUGUUUCGGCUAGGGGGUCAUCCCGACUUACCAAACCGAUGCAAACUCCGAAUACCGAUGAGUGAUAUCCGGGAGACAGACGGCGGGUGCUAACGUCCGUCGUCAAGAGGGAAACAACCCAGACCGCCAGCUAAGGUCCCUAAAAUUGGCUAAGUGGGAAACGAAGUGAGAAGGCUAAAACAGUCAGGAUGUUGGCUUAGAAGCAGCCACCCUUUAAAGAAAGCGUAAUAGCUCACUAGUCGAGUCGGCCUGCGCGGAAGAUGUAACGGGGCUCAAACUAGGAGCCGAAGCUGCGGAUUUAAUUGUUUCAAUUAAGUGGUAGGGGAGCAUUGUGUAAGCCUGUGAAGGUGUGUUGUAAAGCAUGCUGGAGGUAUCACAAGAGCGAAUGCUGACGUGAGUAACGACAAUGCGAGUGAAAAGCUCGCACGCCGGAAGACCAAGGGUUCCAGUCCAACGUUAAUCGGGGCUGGGUGAGUCGACCCCUAAGGCGAGGCCGAAAGGCGUAGUCGAUGGGAAAUCGGUUAAUAUUCCGAUACUUGUUUAUGAUGCGAUGGAGGGACGGAGAAGGU
rnacentral:rRNA from 1 species